CCUACGGGGGACAGCAGUGAGGAAUAUUGGUCAAUGGGCGCGAGCCUGAACCAGCCAAGUCGCGUGAGGGAAGACGGCCCUACGGGUUGUAAACCUCUUUUGCCGGGGAGCAACGGGCGCCACGUGUGGCGCCACUGAGAGUACCCGGAGAAAAAGCAUCGGCUAACCCCGUGCCAGCAGCCGCGGUAAUACGGGGGAUGCGGGCGUUAUCCGGAUUUAUGGGUUUAAAGGGGUGCGUAGGCGGAGCUUUAAGUCAGUGGUAAAAUUGGGGGUCUCAACCCCUUCCCGCCAUUGAAACUGGCGCUCUUGAGUGGAAGAGAAGUAUGCGGAAUGCGUGGUGUAGCGGUGAAAUGCAUAGAUAUCACGCAGAACCCCGAUUGCGAAGGCAGCAUGCCGGCUUCCGACUGACGCUGAAGCACGAAAGCGUGGGGAUCGAACAGGAUUAGAUACCCUGGUAGUC
rnacentral:rRNA from 1 species